AUAUCAAUUGGUAAUUUGAUUAUUUAUAUGAUUUUCUCUUUCCUGUUCUUUGGUAAUUAACUACAUCAAUGCUCAUCCAACUUUCACCAUUAUUGGUGUCUACCUUAUAUGAAAGUUGUAAGAGUAUUUUCAAGAACACAUUAUAAAUCAAAAUUAAUACAAUCAAGUUUAUGUUGGAAGCAUUUUCUUGAUGUUGUUGGUGGUCUAAACGCUAUGGCAAUAAUUAAAGCUAUUACAACAUGCUUGAAUUAUCAAAUCAAUUUGGCAUGUAAUAUUCAAAAUGACAUGAACGUAAAAGUAAAAAAUUAUUGCUCCAAUCUGGCAUGUUUUCGCUCAAAUCAAGGUGUGUAGGGUUUCAACGAGUCGAUGCAAGAAAUCAAUCAGAGUCAACUGCUCUCUAUCUUCACUUUAUAACAAAGGAUGACGUAUAAAAUAAUUAAAAAAACUUUAGGAAAAAUAAAAACUUUUGUAGACAUAUUUAUGUGUUAUCCAAUUUUCUUUGUUUUUUUUUUUUUAAUUAUGUAUUUAGUAUUCUUUUAAUUUGAAUAAAUUUAGGCUUUCAUCUAGGCAUGUAAGAAACUUCAGAAAUACAAAAACAUUGCUUCUGUCA